AUGCAUAAAUCUCAUUAACAGUGA
rnacentral:siRNA from 1 species